UACGGGGGGAGCAAGCGUUGUUCGGAUUUACUGGGCGUAAAGGGCGCGUAGGCGGUCAGCCCAGGUCAGUUGUGAAAUCUCCGGGCUUAACUCGGAAAGGUCAACUGAUACUGUGCGACUAGAGUGCAGAAGGGGCAACUGGAAUUUACGGUGUAGCGGUGAAAUGCGUAGAUAUCGUAAGGAAGACCAGUGGCGAAGGCGGGUCUCUGGACAGUUCCUGACGCUGAGGCACGAAGGUCAGGGGAGCAAACGGG
rnacentral:rRNA from 1 species